ACGGGUGAGUAAUACAUCGGAACGUGCCCAGUAGUGGGGGAUAGCUCGGCGAAAGCCGGAUUAAUACCGCAUACGACCUACGGGUGAAAGCGGGGGAUCGCAAGACCUCGCGCUAUUGGAGCGGCCGAUGUCAGAUUAGGUUGUUGGUGGGGUAAAGGCUCACCAAGCCGACGAUCUGUAGCUGGUCUGAGAGGACGACCAGCCACACUGGGACUGAGACACGGCCCAGACUCCUACGGGAGGCAGCAGUGGGGAAUUUUGGACAAUGGGCGAAAGCCUGAUCCAGCCAUGCCGCGUGCGGGAAGAAGGCCUUCGGGUUGUAAACCGCUUUUGUCAGGGAAGAAAUCUUUCGAGCUAAUACCUUGAGAGGAUGACGGUACCUGAAGAAUAAGCACCGGCUAACUACGUGCCAGCAGCCGCGGUAAUACGUAGGGUGCAAGCGUUAAUCGGAAUUACUGGGCGUAAAGCGUGCGCAGGCGGUUGUGCAAGACAGGUGUGAAAUCCCCGGGCUUAACCUGGGAACUGCACUUGUGACUGCACAGCUGGAGUACGGCAGAGGGGGAUGGAAUUCCGCGUGUAGCAGUG
rnacentral:rRNA from 1 species